rnacentral:rRNA from 1 species
GGAUCCAGACUUUGAUUCUGGCUCAGGAUGAACGCUGGCGGCGUGCUUAACACAUGCAAGUCGAACGAUUGAAGCUGGAGCUUGCUCCGGCCGAUUUAGUGGCGGACGGGUGAGUAACGCGUGGGUAACCUGCCUCAUACAGGGGGAUAGCAGUUGGAAACGACUGGUAAAACCGCAUAAGCGCACGGUAUCGCAUGAUACAGUGUGAAAACACUCCGGUGGUAUGAGAUGGACCCGCGUCUGAUUAGCUAGUUGGCGAGGUAACGGCCCACCAAGGCGACGAUCAGUAGCCGGCCUGAGAGGGUGAACGGCCACAUUGGGACUGAGACACGGCCCAAACUCCUACGGGAGGCAGCAGUGGGGAAUAUUGCACAAUGGGGGAAACCCUGAUGCAGCGACGCCGCGUGAGUGAUGAAGUAUUUCGGUAUGUAAAGCUCUAUCAGCAGGGAAGAUAAUGACGGUACCUGACUAAGAAGCACCGGCUAAAUACGUGCCAGCAGCCGCGGUAAUACGUAUGGUGCAAGCGUUAUCCGGAUUUACUGGGUGUAAAGGGUGCGUAGGUGGCAAGGCAAGUCUGAAGUGAAAAUCCGGGGCUCAACCCCGGAACUGCUUUGGAAACUGUUUAGCUAGAGUACAGGAGAGGUAAGUGGAAUUCCUAGUGUAGCGGUGAAAUGCGUAGAUAUUAGGAGGAACACCAGUGGCGAAAGGCGACUUACUGGACUGCUACUGACACUGAGGCACGAAAGCGUGGGGAGCAAACAGGAUUAGAUACCCUGGGUAGUCCACGCCGUAAACGAUGAAUACUAGGUGUUGGGUUCCAAAGGAACUCGGUGCCGUCGCAAACGCAUUAAGUAU